rnacentral:rRNA from 1 species
UACGAAGGGUGCUAGCGUUGUUCGGAAUUACUGGGCGUAAAGCGCGCGUAGGCGGUUUUUCAAGUCAGGGGUGAAAUCCUGAGGCUCAACCUCAGAAUUGCCUUUGAAACUGUAAAACUUGAGUGUCGGAGGGGAUAGCGGAAUUGCUAAUGUAGAGGUGAAAUUCGUAGAUAUUAGCAGGAACACCGGUGGCGAAGGCGGCUAUCUGGACGACAACUGACGCUGAGGCGCGAAAGCGCGGGGAUCAAACAGG